AAGUCGUAACAAGGUUUCCGUAGGUGAACCUGCGGAAGGAUCAUUAUUGAAGUCUCUGAGAGCGUUGUUGCUGGUUCUCCGGAGCAUUGUGCACGCCUCUCAAACUUUACCAACCACCUGUGCACCUCUCGUAGCUUUUCAGAUGCCUCUAUCAGUUUUCGGACUGGCGGGGACUGCUGCUGUGAUUCUGUCGCGGCUUCAGUCCAAUAUCUGAAAGGUUGCGUCUUACACACACACUCUGUUAAUAUUUAAAGAAUGUAUCAUGGUCUUUGAUUGACCUUAAAACUUUAAUACAACUUUCAACAACGGAUCUCUUGGCUCUC
rnacentral:misc_RNA from 1 species